rnacentral:rRNA from 1 species
CUACGGGAUGCACCAGUGGGGAAUAUUGGACAAUGGGCGCAAGCCUGAUCCAGCCAUGCCGCGUGAGUGAUGAAGGCCCUAGGGUUGUAAAGCUCUUUCGCCGGUGAAGAUAAUGACGGUAACCGGUAAAGAAGCCCCGGCUAACUUCGUGCCAGCAGCCGCGGUAAUACGAAGGGGGCUAGCGUUGUUCGGAAUUACUGGGCGUAAAGCGCACGUAGGCGGACAUUUAAGUCAGGGGUGAAAUCCCGGGGCUCAACCCCGGAACUGCCUUUGAUACUGGAUGUCUUGAGUCCGGAAGAGGUGAGUGGAAUUGCGAGUGUAGAGGUGAAAUUCGUAGAUAUUCGCAGGAACACCAGUGGCGAAGGCGGCUCACUGGUCCGGUACUGACGCUGAGGUGCGAAAGCGUGGGGAGCAAACAGGAUUAGAUACCCGUGUAGUC